GGCGGGGUAGCUCAGUUGGUUAGAGCGGUCGGCUCAUACCCGGCAAGUCGAGAGUUCGAGUCUCUCCCCCGCUA
rnacentral:tRNA from 1 species